UUGGUGCCACGUGGCUGCCAUGAAGUGGGGAGGAGAUAUUUUUUAUUUUCUUUAAUUCCUUUCAUUCUAUUUAAUUAAAACUUAAUUUAAAGAAUGCUAAAAUUAAAAGUUUAAUAAUUAAAAUAAAAUCAAUACAUAAAAUAAAAUAAAAUUUUAAAAAUACAAUUAAUUCUACUAAUCAAUUUGUAAAAAAAAAUCGGAUAAAA
rnacentral:lncRNA from 1 species